rnacentral:rRNA from 1 species
GAUGAACGCUGGCGGCGUGCCUAACACAUGCAAGUCGAGCGAUUCUCUUCGGAGAAGGGCGGCGGACGGGUGAGUAACGCGUGGGUAACCUGCCCUGUACACACGGAUAACAUACCGAAAGGUAUGCUAAUACGAGAUGAUAUAUUUUUAUUGCAUGAUAAAAAUAUCAAAGCUUUUGCGGUACAGGAUGGGCCCGCGUCUGAUUAGCUAGUUGGUAAGGUAACGGCUUACCAAGGCGACGAUCAGUAGCCGACCUGAGAGGGUGAUCGGCCACACUGGAACUGAGACACGGUCCAGACUCCUACGGGAGGCAGCAGUGGGGAAUAUUGCACAAUGGGCGAAAGCCUGAUGCAGCAACGCCACGUGAGCGAUGAAGGCCUUCGGGUCGUAAAGCUCUGUCCUCAAGGAAGAUAAUGACGGUACUUGAGGAGGAAGCCCCGGCUAACUACGUGCCAGCAGCCGCGGUAAUACGUAGGGGGCUAGCGUUAUCCGGAAUUACUGGGCGUAAAGAGUGCGUAGGCGGUCUUUCAAGCCAGAAGUGAAAGGCUACGGCUCAACCGUAGUAAGCUUUUGGAACUGUAGGACUUGAGUGCAGGAGAGGAGAGUGGAAUUCCUAGUGUAGCGGUGAAAUGCGUAGAUAUUAGGAGGAACACCAGUAGCGAAGGCGGCUCUCUGGACUGUAACUGACGCUGAGGCACGAAAGCGCGGGGAGCAAACAGGAUUAGAUACCCUGGUAGUCCACGCCGUAAACGAUGAGUACUAGGUGUCGGGGGUUACCCCCCUCGGUGCCGCAGCUAACGCAUUAAGUACUCCGCCUGGGAAGUACGCUCGCAAGAGUGAAACUCAAAGGAAUUGACGGGGACCCGCACAAGUAGCGGAGCAUGUGGUUUAAUUCGAAGCAACGCGAAGAACCUUACCUAAGCUUGACAUCCCAUUGACCUCUCCCUAAUCGGAGAUUUCCCUUCGGGGACAGUGGUGACAGGUGGUGCAUGGUUGUCGUCAGCUCGUGUCGUGAGAUGUUGGGUUAAGUCCCGCAACGAGCGCAACCCUUGCCUUUAGUUGCCAGCAUUAAGUUGGGCACUCUAGAGGGACUGCCGAGGAUAACUCGGAGGAAGGUGGGGAUGACGUCAAAUCAUCAUGCCCCUUAUGCUUAGGGCUACACACGUGCUACAAUGGGUGGUACAGAGGGUUGCCAAACCGUGAGGUGGAGCUAAUCCCUUAAAGCCAUUCUCAGCUCGGAUUGUAGGCUGAAACUCGCCUACAUGAAGCUGGAGUUACUAGUAAUCGCAGAUCAGAAUGCUGCGGUGAAUGCGUUCCCGGGUCU